UCAGUUGUGAAAGUUUGCGGCUCAACCGUAAAAUUGCAGUUGAAACUGGCAGUCUUGAGUACAGUAGAGGUGGGCGGAAUUCGUGGUGUAGCGGUGAAAUGCUUAGAUAUCACGAAGAACUCCGAUUGCGAAGGCAGCUCACUAGACUGCAACUGACACUGAUGCUCGAAAGUGUGGGUAUCAAACAGGAUUAGAUACCCUGGUAGUCUACACAGUAAACGAUGAAUACUCGCUGUUUGCGAUAUACAGUAAGCGGCCAAGCGAAAGCGUUAAGUAUUCCACCUGGGGAGUACGCCGGCAACGGUGAAACUCAAAGGAAUUGACGGGGGCCCGCACAAGCGGAGGAACAUGUGGUUUAAUUCGAUGAUACGCGAGGAACCUUACCCGGGCUUAAAUUGCACUCGAAUGAUCCGGAAACGGUUCAGCUAGCAACAGCGAGUGUGAAGGUGCUGCAUGGUUGUCGUCAGCUCGUGCCGUGAGGUGUCGGCUUAA
rnacentral:rRNA from 1 species